GCAGUGGUAGUUUAGUGGUAGAAUUCUAACCUUCUAUGUGGGAGACUCGGUUUCAAUUCCUGACCAAUGCA
rnacentral:tRNA from 1 species